GACGAACGCUGGUGGCGUGCUUAACACAUGCAAGUCGAACGGGAUUUAGUAAACAGAAGCCUCGGUGGAAGAUUACUAAUGAGAGUGGCGAACAGGUGAGUAACGCGUGAGCAACCUGCCUAUGACAGUGGGAUAGCCUCGGGAAACCGGGAUUAAUACCGCAUAAAAUCGUAGAAACACAUGUUUUAACGGUCAAAGAUUUAUCGGUCAUAGAUGGGCUCGCGUCUGAUUAGCUAGUUGGUGAGAUAACAGCCCACCAAGGCGACGAUCAGUAGCCGGUCUGAGAGGAUGAACGGCCACAUUGGAACUGAGACACGGUCCAAACUCCUACGGGAGGCAGCAGUGGGGAAUAUUGCACAAUGGGGGAAACCCUGAUGCAGCGACGCCGCGUGAACGAAGAAGGUAUUCGUAUCGUAAAGUUCUGUCCUAUGGGAAGAUAAUGACAGUACCAUAGAAGAAAGCUCCGGCUAAAUACGUG
rnacentral:rRNA from 1 species